rnacentral:rRNA from 1 species
GCGCCGGACCGCAUACAAGUCUGUUGGAAUACAGCGUCAUAGUGGUGAGAGCCCCGUAACUGAUGCGGAUGCCCGGUGCUUUGUGAUACACUUUCGAAGAGUCGAGUUGUUUGGGAAUGCAGCUCAAAUUGGGUGGUAAAUUCCAUCUAAAGCUAAAUAUUGGCGAGAGACCGAUAGCGAACAAGUACCGUGAGGGAAAGAUGAAAAGCACUUUGGAAAGAGAGUUAACAGUACGUGAAAUUGUUGGAAGGGAAACGCUUGAAGUCAGACUUGCUAUUCGGAAUUCAGCCGCAAGGUGUACUUUUCGAUUUGCAGGCCAGCAUCAGUUUUCGGGGGUGGAAAAGGGUUGGAGGAAGGUAGCAAUCUCGGUUGUGUUAUAGCCUCCAGCUGGAUUCAUCUUUGGGGACUGAGGAACGCAGCACGCUUUUUGCAAAGCUCUCGAGCUUUUCGUGCUUAGGAUGCUGGUGGAAUGGCUUUAAACGACCCGUCUUGA